GAUGCGGUUUUGGGGAUCCGAAGCUGAGCUCUCGCCUCUCUCGGUGCUCCAUUUUGGCUCAAGACAACUUUACGCGAUCUUACUAUGAAGAAUGUUCCGAUCGAGGCGCCUCGAUCAGAUCGAGUCGAUCGACUUCAAGUUGGAUCUUUCAUGGAAAGUGUCGGUGUUCGUCUGUCUCUUUUUAUACAUCAAUUUUGACCCGGAAACUUUUAGCUAAGGUUUUCGGUAGUUCUAGAAACCCUGCGGUUUGAAUUCUAUUUCGUCCAGGCAUCACCCUCUUGCGCGGAGAGAGAAGCGCGGGCGUCGGAUGGCGGCCGUUGACGUUCACAUUGGCUCCCCAUAGGGAGGAUCCGAUGAGAAACCCCACCACAUUUUCGUCCUAGAUAAAAACCUUUAACAGGUAUCAGUGCACUUUGGAAGUCCUACGAUAAGCCCGGAACGAUUCCUGGAGGGCGGUUUCCAGGUUUGACUUGAGAACGCCAGCCAAUGUGAGGCACAGUGGAGUUCUAGAAAGAAAUACUAGUCGAUGGUGAUCUUUGUCUGCUUAAGGUAUAUGCUGAACCCAAGCAUCAAACAAAUUUCCUGAUAGAGUUUUGUUCUUGGGCAGUGUUUUAAAGCCAUUUUGUAUCAUGAACAUGAAUGAAACUUUUGUUAGUGGCCGUGACAUGAAAUAGUUGGGGCAUUAUGUGUAUAAACAGCAUAAAUUUUUAUUAGUGUAUGUGACAUCGCCAUAGUCGGAAAUCACAAGUCAAAUUGUCGGGACAUUGCCAACUCUUAGUCCAUCUACGUAAUGUGUAUAUAUGUACUUUUUCUUCAAACCAUAGUCAGUUACCAAGGAUCUUUUUUUUUUCCUUGAUGAAUUAUGACUCUAAGGCAAUGAACUUAAAUUUGGGCUCAAACCAAUAAUUAUCUUUGACAAAAUUAUUCUCUCGUUUAAUUCAACAAUAUAUGAGCUUGACAAAAAGGAAGAGUUUUGAGUUUCCGACAAAAGGCUGUGAAUGGAUUUCGUGAUUUGCAAUUGGAUAAGUUGUUUAGUUGUCUUUAUUUUAAAUUAUAUAAGAAUCUUAAUGUUUUUUGAAACUAGGAUUUUUUCCAGUUGGAAGUCCUUUUAAUCUUUCUUCCAAUUUAACUAAUUUUGAUAUUCAACACCUUUCUUCCAGUUCCAAUUUCUCUUACAUUAACAAUAACAGGUCAUGUUGAAGUGGGGGAAUAUAUUGAAGUGUAUAAUUUGAGCAAUGCAUCAUCAGGUUAUGCACAUUAAAGUGUCUUUAUUGUUAGCAGUUCUGAGAGAACUUGCAAUGAUAGUUUGAGUUGGUUUCUUAUUUGUGCCAUAAUUUCCCAUCUUAUGGGACAAGACGAAGUCGAUUAUCUCUGGAGCAUUAUUGCUUAAAUUUAGAUUUUUCAUCCUUUGGUCUAAAGAUGUAAAACUACAACUUUAUAAUCCUAUUUCUUAACAUGCCUAAUACUAUAUUGUUACAGCUACUCCCCAACUAUUGUUUAUUGCCUCUCAUUCAGCUAUUGUCUUCUGAGUUUCUGUUUGAUUUUCAUCUUAAUUUUGUUUUAACACUAAUGUUGCUUGUAACCUGCAUGGUGGAGCUUCAACUAUAUACCAUCUGAGGAGUCUUUGUUAUGGAUUUCACCACCCUCCAACAUGUACAGAUAGUUCUGAUUACCAGAUAUCAUCAAGCCCUGCAACGAGCUUUAUCUUCAAAAUAGUUUCUGAUCGUGGAGUAGGAUCAUCCAUUGCUGGAAUUACUUGGUUCCCAUAAGCACUGAGGACCAUUAUCCAUGACGGUGAAGAUCUUUUGGUAACGUGUCAAGAAAUUAGCUGGAGUUCUUUUUCGCUUUAUGGUGCUGUGACAGGGCUGGAAGGAAACAAUUGCCCUGCCCACCCGUAUUGACCCCGCAGAACACAUCACAAGCAGUGGGGCAUGGCCUUCUGAGAGGGCAGCAUCACAUUGCUUUCAAAUAUCUGUGUCCAGAUCAGCCAGAUGAGAUGGCCACUCUUUGCAUCCCGAAAGAGGAGUCAGAAGGACAUGAGAAUGCGCUGAAGUCUUUUGGUGAAAGAGAUGUGAGAGCUUGGAAUCCUAUCCUUAGUUUCGGAGUGGGUGAAAAAGAAAGGAAGGAAUUGGGCAAAGGCAAAAGAGGGGGUGUGUGGGGGAGAUGGAGGAAUCCUCUACCAAAAGCUAAGAAACAAAGCUGGUUGACAAGAGCAACGGGCAAAAGGGGUUCAUCCCAUUGGAGGUUUGGCAUCAAGUGUUAGGAAUGUAUCACAUCAAUCAGAGUUCUCUCUUAUUCUUAGGAAGAAGUUAGAUCCCUACAUGUUGGUACUAAGAAAAUGGCCAUUGAACCGGCAAACCCAAGAUGUGAAGAUUUGCAAGGAUAUGGGGACAGCAUCAUGCUGGCUGUUAUGAGUCCAUGUCAUGUCCUCAAAGAAUAAUAUGAAUUGGUCAUAUCUUCUUCACCCAUCCAUGUCAGGUUGAAGGAAUUCCCUGCAAAUGGCCAACUCUUGAACAACCAUCGCAUUCUGAGGACCACCAGGGGGUGGGCAUGAGGAAAUGGAGAAAGUUGCAGGACUCGGUGGAUGACUUGUGUCAUCAGGACUAACAGUGGAUGGGGACAAUAAUUGCCCUCAUGCCUCCCAUUUAAAGCAGAGAUGGUGAGCGGGAAGGAGGAGGUUGGGGGAUAUCUUUCAGGCUGAAGAUGACAAACCGGGCAGGCAUGAUUGUGUGAAAUGGAGAGGGCAGCAACUCCAAAUCGAAGGCACUUGAAAGCAACUUGUGUCGAAAGCUUCCCUGAAAGAGACCUGCUGUUCUGGUCAUGUACCCUGGAACAACCUGGCAGCAAAGCCACUCACGAUACAGGGUGCAGCAUCACUUCCCAACAUCUCAAAAUGAUAGCAGUUCGGUGCUGGAUUAACUUGGAGCUCACAUGAUCUAUCUAACACAUCAGGAGACCACUAUCACAAGUAGGGGGGCUUCAUCUUAAAGCAGAAACAGCUGCCAUGUUGGCCCACAUUUUGUUGAUUGAGAUGGAGAGAUUGGAAACAUGGUUUAAUGGUGGACAUGUUUUUCCAUGGGAAACCAACUACAGAUAUGCUUGCAAAGCCAAGGGGGGCAACAAAAUGUCUUCCAAUCUCACUGUGCCUGCGUCAUGAAUAAUGGUUUCCGUGGACGGAGGUGAACGGGCGGCUUCUGCGCAAGAGAAGCGAGGGAGAGGAACGUGAUGAUUGCCAUGCUCACGCUGUCGAUUACGACAAAGCGAGACGAAGACAAGCUGCGGAGCAGCAGCGGAAAAGGUUCCCAUCACAUGUGUCUCUUGCUCUGUACAAUACAAACAAAACCCAUCAUUUCUUUUUUCCUUCA